rfam:Halomonas sp. &apos;Soap Lake #7&apos;, complete genome.
GCCCGGAUGGCGAAAUUGGUAGACGCAAGAGACUUAAAAUCUCUCGGAGGUAACUCCGUGCCGGUUCAAGUCCGGCUCCGGGCA